rnacentral:lncRNA from 1 species
AUGGGGUUCAGGCAGUCCCUUUUCAUUCCCUGGUAAUCCAGGGAUGCUGCAGCAGCAGCACGGAGCUGGAAGCAGCUGGAUACAGGGACAUGGAGAGUCCUGGAGAAAAGCAGAGCAGUGCCAGGAUCCACUUUUUAGGGAUGUGAUGGGUGUUGCUUUCCAGGUCUGUCCUGGGCUAUGAGGAGAGGAGCAGCUCCAUGAAUCCUGAGGGCCCAUCCUACCACCAGCCCUACUGGGAUGAGACAAGGCUCCUGGACUCAUCCAUCCUCAGUGAGAGGGGCCAAGGAGCUCCUGGCCAUGACGCCCCCCCAGAGCCCCCCAGGCUGAAGGAUCCCACUGAGCCCAGCAGGGCCGGGUCUGAACUGUGCUCCCAGGACACUGCUGGCAGCAGGGACAGGGAUGUGGGAAUGUCAUCCUGCCUGCAGAGGGAGGAAACCACGGCAGGAAGGCAAGAGAAAUAAUGGGGCUGC